GUGGUCGGCCAGGCAGUCGCUCCAUCCGAUUCGUGGAUGGGGAGGAAAGUCCGAACACCCUAGGGCAAGGCGCCUCAGGUCAACUGAGGGUCCUGCAGGCAACAUCCUGCAGGAACGGACAGUGUCACAGAAAACAAACAUCCUCUGCCUCUGGCGGAGGAAAAGGUGAAAAGGUGGUGUAAGAGACCACCGCUUCGGCAGUAAUGUCGAAGGCACGACAAACCCCGCCUGGUGCAAGACCAUGUAAGUCCCGUUCCCACGAUUCGUGGGGAAGAGUGGCCCGUUCAAUCCUCUUCAUCGAGGGACGGGAUGGGUAGGUCGCUCAGAGAAAUGACUGCCUCGUCUGGACCCGAUUCUGAGUACAGACAAGACAGAAUUCGGCUUAUCGGUCGGCCACUUCC
rnacentral:RNase_P_RNA from 1 species